AACUAGUUACAAGGGAGUCAAUAAAUUGACUGAGAAAAGGAUGUGAGCCUUGACCUUUUGACCUGAUUUGGAUAAUGCCAACGUAGGAAGUAAGAAAGUUUAUUUU
rfam:Leptotrichia sp. oral taxon 847, complete genome.